ACCCGCCAACCCCGCCAGGUCCGGGAGGAAG
rnacentral:SRP_RNA from 12 species